rnacentral:rRNA from 1 species
AGUGAACGCUGGCGGUAGGCCUAACACAUGCAAGUCGAACGGCAGCACAGUAAGAGCUUGCUCUUACGUGUGUCGAGUGUCGGACGGGUGCGUAAUACAUCGGAAUCUACUUUUUAGUGGGGGAUAACGUAGGAAAACUUACUCUAAUACCGCAUACGACCUACGGGUGGAAGCAGGGGAUCUUCGGACCUUGCGCUAUUGAAUGAGCCGAUGUCGGAUUAGCUAGUUGGCGGGGUAAAGGCCCACCAAGGCGACGAUCCGUAGCUGUUCUGAGAGGAUGAUCAGCCACACUGGAACUGAGACACGGUCCAGACUCCUGAGGGAGGCAGCAGUGGGGAAUAUUGGAGAAAGGACGCAAGCCUGAUCCAGCCCUACCGCGUGGGUGAAGAAGGCCUUCUGGUUGUAAAGCCAUUUUGUUGGGAAAGAAAAGCAGCAGGUUAAUACCCCGCUGUUCUGACGGUACCCAAAGAAUAAGCACCGGCUAACUUCGUG